rnacentral:rRNA from 1 species
GGUGGGGAUGACGUCAAGUCAUCAUGGCCCUUACGGCCUGGGCUACACACGUGCUACAAUGGUCGGUACAAAGGGUUGCCAAGCCGCGAGGUGGAGCUAAUCCCAUAAAACCGAUCGUAGUCCGGAUCGCAGUCUGCAACUCGACUGCGUGAAGUCGGAAUCGCUAGUAAUCGUGAAUCAGAAUGUCACGGUGAAUACGUUCCCGGGCCUU